AGACCCGAAACCCGGUGAUCUAGCCAUGGGCAGGUUGAAGGUUGGGUAACACUAACUGGAGGACCGAACCGACUAAUGUUGAAAAAUUAGCGGAUGACCUGUGGCUGGGGGUGAAAGGCCAAUCAAACCGGGAGAUAGCUGGUUCUCCCCGAAAGCUAUUUAGGUAGCGCCUCGUGAAUUCAUCUCCGGGGGUAGAGCACUGUUUCGGCUAGGGGGCCAUCCCGGCUUACCAACCCGAUGCAAACUGCGAAUACCGGAGAAUGUUAUCACGGGAGACACACGGCGGGUGCUAACGUCCGUCGUGAAGAGGGAAACAACCCAGACCGCCAGCUAAGGUCCCAAAGUCAUGGUUAAGUGGGAAACGAUGUGGGAAGGCCCAGACAGCCAGGAUGUUGGCUUAGAAGCAGCCAUCAUUUAAAGAAAGCGUAAUAGCUCACUGGUCGAGUCGGCCUGCGCGGAAGAUGUAACGGGGCUAAACCAUGCACCGAAGCUGCGGCAGCGAACGUAUCACUUAAAGCGAUUCAGCGGGUUACGAUUGACGGAGCGAAGCGACGUCAAAGCGUAUACAAAGUCGAGUCGGUUUAAGGAUACGUUCGUUGGGUAGGGGAGCGUUCUGUAAGCCUGCGAAGGUGGCCUGUGAGGGUUGCUGGAGGUAUCAGAAGUGCGAAUGCUGACAUAAGUAACGAUAAAGCGGGUGAAAAGCCCGCUCGCCGGAAGACCAAGGGUUCCUGUCCAACGUUAAUCGGGGCAGGGUGAGUCGACCCCUAAGGCGAGGCCGAAAGGCGUAGUCGAUGGGAAACGGGUUAAUAUUCCCGUACUUGGUGUUACUGCGAAGGGGGGACGGAGAAGGCUAUGUUGGCCGGGCGACGGUUGUCCCGGUUUAAGCGUGUAGGCUGGUUUUCCAGGCAAAUCCGGAAAAUCAAGGCUGAGGCGUGACGACGAGGCACUACGGUGCUGAAGCAACAAAUGCCCUGCUUCCAGGAAAAGCCUCUAAGCAUCAGGUAACACGAAAUCGUACCCCAAACCGACACAGGUGGUCAGGUAGAGAAUACCAAGGCGCUUGAGAGAACUCGGGUGAAGGAACUAGGCAAAAUGGUGCCGUAACUUCGGGAGAAGGCACGCUGACACGUA
rnacentral:rRNA from 1 species